AGCGAACGCUGGCGGCAGGCCUAACACAUGCAAGUCGAACGAACCUUUCGGGGUUAGUGGCGGACGGGUGAGUAACACGUGGGAACGUGCCUUUAGGUUCGGAAUAACUCAGGGAAACUUGUGCUAAUACCGAAUGUGCCCUUCGGGGGAAAGAUUAAUCGCCUUUAGAGCGGCCCGCGUCUGAUUCGCUAGUUGGUUGAGGUAAUGGCUCACCAAGGCGACGAUCAGUAGCUGGUCUGAGAGGAUGAUCAGCCACAUUGGGACUGAGACACGGCCCAAACUCCUACGGGAGGCAGCAGUGGGGAAUCUUGCGCAAUGGGCGAAAGCCUGACGCAGCCAUGCCGCGUGAAUGAUGAAGGUCUUAGGAUUGUAAAAUUCUUUCACCGGGGACGAUAAUGACGGUAACCGGAGAAGAAGCCCCGGCUAACUUCGUG
rnacentral:rRNA from 1 species